GAUGAACGCUGGCGGCGUGCCUAAUACAUGCAAGUCGAGCGAACGGACGAGAAGCUUGCUUCUCUGAUGUUAGCGGCGGACGGGUGAGUAACACGUGGAUAACCUACCUAUAAGACUGGGAUAACUUCGGGAAACCGGAGCUAAUACCGGAUGAUAUUUUGAACCGCAUGGUUCAAAAGUGAAAGACGGUCUUGCUGUCACUUAUAGAUGGAUCCGCGCUGCAUUAGCUAGUUGGUAAGGUAACGGCUUACCAAGGCAACAAUGCAUAGCCGACCUGAGAGGGUGAUCGGCCACACUGGAACUGAGACACGGUCCAGACUCCUACGGGAGGCAGCAGUAGGGAAUCUUCCGCAAUGGGCGAAAGCCUGACGGAGCAACGCCGCGUGAGUGAUGAAGGUCUUCGGAUCGUAAAACUCUGUUAUUAGGGAAGAACAUAUGUGUAAGUAACUGUGCACAUCUUGACGGUACCUAAUCAGAAAGCCACGGCUAACUACGU
rnacentral:rRNA from 1 species